CCUACGGGUGGCAGCAGUGGGGAAUAUUGCACAAUGGGGGAAACCCUGAUGCAGCGACGCCGCGUGAGUGAAGAAGUCUUUCUGUAUGUAAAGCUCUAUCAGCAGGGAAGAAGAACGACGUUCCCUUACUCAGACGCCCCGGCUAACUACGUGCCAGCAGCCGGGGUACUACGUAGGGGGCAAGCGUUAUCCGGAUUUACUGGGUGUAAAGGGAGCGUAGACGGCUGUGCAAGUCUGAAGUGAAAGCCCAGGGCUCAACCCUGGGACUGCUUUGGAAACUGUGGAGCUAGAGUGCGGGAGAGGUAAGUGGAAUGCGUAGUGUAGCGGUGAAAUGCGUAGAUAUUAGGAGGAACACCAGUGGCGAAGGCGGCAUACUGGACAGUAACUGACGUUGAGGCUCGAAAGCGUGGGGAGCGAACAGGAUUAGAUACCCUAGUAGUC
rnacentral:rRNA from 1 species